rnacentral:rRNA from 1 species
UACGAGGGGGGGCGAGCGUUGUUCGGAAUUAUUGGGCGUAAAGGGUGCGUAGGCGGUUUGGUAAGUCUUUUUGUGAAAUCUCUGGGCUCAACUCAGAGUCUGCAAGGGAAACUGCCGGGCUGGAGUGUGGGAGAGGUGAGUGGAAUUUCCGGUGUAGCGGUGAAAUGCGUAGAUAUCGGAAGGAACACCAGUGGCGAAAGCGGCUUCCUGGUCCAGCACCGACGUUCAGGCACGAAAGCGUGGGGAGCAAACAGG